AAAAUAAGUGCACAUCCCCUGACUUGCAAACGCUCAUUUUAAUUCAAACUUUUGUGGGAUAUACUCAUACAAUUCUACGAAAGAAAAUCAAAACCGAUUGGAUAGAGGAAAAACCCGGAAAAGGUGAAUUUUGUUGUAGGCUGGAAUAAUUAUCAUACAACGGCUUCUAUUUUGCUGAAAGCAGUGAAGUAACAUGUUCAAUUUUUAUAUCCAGUCACUCGUACUGCAUACAUACUCUCCUAACACACCGACACACUGACUAAGCUGAUGAUACACUCAAGGAAUAACCG